rnacentral:rRNA from 1 species
UACAGAGGUCCCAAGCGUUGUUCGGAUUCACUGGGCGUAAAGGGUGCGUAGGUGGCGAUCUAAGUCGGGUGUGAAAUCUCCGGGCUCAACCCGGAUGGUGCGCCCGAAACUGGGUUGCUAGAGGAUGGGAGGGGAGACUGGAAUUCUCGGUGUAGCAGUGAAAUGCGUAGAUAUCGAGAGGAACACCGGUGGCGAAGGCGAGUCUCUGGACCAUUCCUGACACUGAGGCACGAAAGCCGGGGGAGCAAACAGG